rnacentral:rRNA from 1 species
UACAGAGGGUGCAAGCGUUGUUCGGAAUUACUGGGCGUAAAGGGCUCGUAGGCGGCCAACUAAGUCCGACGUGAAAUCCCAAGGCUUAACCUUGGAACUGCGUCGGAUACUGGUUGGCUUGAAUUCGGGAGAGGGAUGCAGAAUUCCAGGUGUAGCGGUGAAAUGCGUAGAUAUCUGGAGGAAUACCGGUGGCGAAGGCGGCAUCCUGGACCGACAUUGACGCUGAUGAGCGAAAGCUAGGGGAGCAAACGGG